rnacentral:rRNA from 2 species
CAUGUAGGCGGAUUAAUAAGUUUGAAGUGAAAUCCUAUAGCUUAACUAUGGAACUGCUUUGAAAACUGUUAAUCUAGAAUGUGGGAGAGGUAGAUGGAAUUUCUGGUGUAGGGGUAAAAUCCGUAGAGAUCAGAAGGAAUACCGAUUGCGAAGGCGAUCUACUGGAACAUUAUUGACGCUGAGAUGCGAAAGCGUGGGGAGCAAACA